AACGAACGCUGGCGGCAGGCCUAACACAUGCAAGUCGAACGAUAAGCCACCUUCGGGUGGUGGACAGUGGCAGACGGGUGAGUAACGCGUGGGAACGUGCCUUUCGGUUCGGGAUAACCCAGGGAAACUUGGGCUAAUACCGGAUACGCCCUCCGGGGGAAAGAUUCAUUGCCGAAAGAUCGGCCCGCGUCGGAUUAGCUAGUUGGUGGGUAAAAGCCUACCAAGGCGAUGAUCCGUAGCUGGUCUGAGAGGAUGACCAGCCAAAAUGGGACUGAGACACGGCCCAGACUCCUACGGGAGGCAGCAGUGGGGAAUAUUGGACAAUGGGCGCAAGCCUGAUCCAGCCAUGCCGCGUGGGUGAAGAAGGCCCUAGGGUUGUAAACCCCUUUCAGCGGGAAGAUAAUGACUGUACCACCAGAAGAAGCCCCGGCUAACUCCGUGCCAGCCGCCGCCGUAA
rnacentral:rRNA from 1 species